rnacentral:rRNA from 1 species
UCGGUUGAUCCUGCCGGACCUUACUGCUAUCGGGGUGGGACUAAGACAUGCGAGUCGAGCGUCUCUAGCUAUGUUGAGACGCGGCAGACGGCUCAGUAACACGUGGCUAACCUACCCUCAGGACGAGGACAAACCCGGGAAACUGGGGCUAAUACUCGAUAGGUGAGAAUGUCUGGAAUGAUUUCUCACUCAAAGGACCUUGGAAACAUGCUUCCAUUGUCGCCUGGGGAUGGGGCCGCGUCCGAUCAGGUUGUUGGUGAGGUAAUGGCUCACCAAGCCUAUAACCGGUACGGGCCGUGAGGGCGGUAGCCCGGAGAUGGGUACUGAGACAAGGACCCAGGCCCUACGGGGCGCAGCAGUCGCGAAAACUCCGCAAUGCACGAAAGUGUGACGGGGCUACCCCGAGUGCCAUCCGCUGAGGAUGGCUUUUCCUUGGUAUAACUAGCCGAGGGAAUAAGGAGAGGGCAAGACUGGUGUCAGCCGCCGCGGUAAUACCAGCCCUCCGAGUGGUAGGGAUGAUUAUUGGGCUUAAAGCGUCCGUAGCCGGCUUAGCAAGUCUCCUGUUAAAUUCAGCGACCUAAUCGUUGAGCCGCGGGAGAUACUACUAGGCUAGGAGGCGGGAGAGGUCGACGGUACUUCUGGGGUAGGGGUGAAAUCCUAUAAUCCCGGGAGGANCACCAGUGGCGANNCUGUCGACUAGAANGCGCUCGACGGUGAGGGACGAAAGCUGGGGGANCGAACCGGANUAGANACCCGGGUAGUCCCAGCCGUAAACNAUGCGGGCUAGGUGUUGGGGUGGCUACNUGCNCUUCAG